AAAUUGAAGAGUUUGAUCAUGGCUCAGAUUGAACGCUGGCGGCAGGCCUAACACAUGCAAGUCGAACGGUAACAGGAAGAAGCUUGCUUCUUUGCUGACGAGUGGCGGACGGGUGAGUAAUGUCUGGGAAACUGCCCGAUGGAGGGGGAUAACUACUGGAAACGGUAGCUAAUACCGCAUAACGUCGCAAGACCAAAGAGGGGGACCUUCGGGCCUCUUGCCAUCGGAUGUGCCCAGAUGGGAUUAGCUUGUUGGUGAGGUAACGGCUCACCAAGGCGACGAUCCCUAGCUGGUCUGAGAGGAUGACCAGCCACACUGGAACUGAGACACGGUCCAGACUCCUACGGGAGGCAGCAGUGGGGAAUAUUGCACAAUGGGCGCAAGCCUGAUGCAGCCAUGCCGCGUGUAUGAAGAAGGCCUUCGGGUUGUAAAGUACUUUCAGCGGGGAGGAAGGGAGUAAAGUUAAUACCUUUGCUCAUUGACGUUACCCGCAGAAGAAGCACCGGCUAACUCCGUGCCAGCAGCCGCGGUAAUACGGAGGGUGCAAGCGUUAAUCGGAAUUACUGGGCGUAAAGCGCACGCAGGCGGUUUGUUAAGUCAGAUGUGAAAUCCCCGGGCUCAACCUGGGAACUGCAUCUGAUACUGGCAAGCUUGAGUCUCGUAGAGGGGGGUAGAAUUCCAGGUGUAGCGGUGAAAUGCGUAGAGAUCUGGAGGAAUACCGGUGGCGAAGGCGGCCCCCUGGACGAAGACUGACGCUCAGGUGCGAAAGCGUGGGGAGCAAACAGGAUUAGAUACCCUGGUAGUCCACGCCGUAAACGAUGUCGACUUGGAGGUUGUGCCCUUGAGGCGUGGCUUCCGGAGCUAACGCGUUAAGUCGACCGCCUGGGGAGUACGGCCGCAAGGUUAAAACUCAAAUGAAUUGACGGGGGCCCGCACAAGCGGUGGAGCAUGUGGUUUAAUUCGAUGCAACGCGAAGAACCUUACCUGGUCUUGACAUCCACGGAAGUUUUCAGAGAUGAGAAUGUGCCUUCGGGAACCGUGAGACAGGUGCUGCAUGGCUGUCGUCAGCUCGUGUUGUGAAAUGUUGGGUUAAGUCCCGCAACGAGCGCAACCCUUAUCCUUUGUUGCCAGCGGUUAGGCCGGGAACUCAAAGGAGACUGCCAGUGAUAAACUGGAGGAAGGUGGGGAUGACGUCAAGUCAUCAUGGCCCUUACGACCAGGGCUACACACGUGCUACAAUGGCGCAUACAAAGAGAAGCGACCUCGCGAGAGCAAGCGGACCUCAUAAAGUGCGUCGUAGUCCGGAUUGGAGUCUGCAACUCGACUCCAUGAAGUCGGAAUCGCUAGUAAUCGUGGAUCAGAAUGCCACGGUGAAUACGUUCCCGGGCCUUGUACACACCGCCCGUCACACCAUGGGAGUGGGUUGCAAAAGAAGUAGGUAGCUUAACCUUCGGGAGGGCGCUUACCACUUUGUGAUUCAUGACUGGGGUGAAGUCGUAACAAGGUAACCGUAGGGGAACCUGCGGUUGGAUCACCUCCUUA
rnacentral:rRNA from 1 species